rnacentral:rRNA from 1 species
UACGUAGGUGGCAAGCGUUAUCCGGAUUUACUGGGUGUAAAGGGCGUGUAGGCGGGCUGGCAAGUCAGAUGUGAAAACCAUGGGCUCAACCCAUGGCCUGCAUUUGAAACUGUUGGUCUUGAGUGCUGGAGAGGCAAUCGGAAUUCCGUGUGUAGCGGUGAAAUGCGUAGAUAUACGGAGGAACACCAGUGGCGAAGGCGGAUUGCUGGACAGUAAC